ACUAGGGGGCAGUUGGUUUGCGGAAACGGGCAAUUGCUCGCAUGCGUUUUCAUGGAUCUGGAUGCUUUUUACGUGGAUACAAAGAGACUGUGAAUAUGUAAAAAAAUAUAUAUCAAAUUGUAUGUUUAAUCUUAGCGCUGUUAAUCACUUUAACACAACUAUAUUUGUCCUGUGCAUUGCCAUAGAAGUACUGUCUACAUGCCAAGUAAUUUAUGUUGGAGUUAUGUGGAGACAUAAUGGUGUUCUAAAGCCUAUGAGAGGGAAGACCCUGCCUCUUGAAGUUCAACCUAAUUGGUCAUCUGAGCAACUGUUAACAGCUGCUGAAAAGAAAGUAAAAGAUUUUAAUCAGGACAUGGAAGAAGGUCCCUAUGUUUUGCUGUACCCAGACGGUUCAGAGGUGAAAAACAUUCCAGGAACAAACACCCCAUUCAAACUACAGCUGUACAAAGAGGCACUUGGGAAGGCUUAUCAAAGAAUAACACUUUUCAUCUGCAAAGGUCAAGAUUUUUCAGCCAUUGACUGUAGAGGAGAUUCUUCUAGCGAAGACAGUGAAGUGCAAGUAAAAUCUACCUCUCACAGUCCACAUUAUGAGAGUGACACUUUGAUGUGGGAUGAUCCAGAUGAAGCAAGCACACCAAAGGCAAGAAGCACAUCAGACAGACCGCCUAAUCUCUCUCGUCCUUUUUUGGACAAAGUAAGUUUAUAAUUUAUGUUCAUACCAUGCAGUUACUUUGUUAGAACAAAUGAAAAAUGUAUUCUGUCUUAUGGGUUUUGUUUAAGGUCAGUUAUAGUGUUUGUUUUUUUUUUUUUUUUAAUUUCUGACAAACUAGGCAGCAGGGGGAAAAAAAAUGUCCAAGAACACACACAUGACCAACAAAAGUGCUACACCAAUUACACACAUCUGUAUGCACCAAUAGUUAUUGAAAGUGACUCAGAAGAGUCAGAUGAGAGCAGACAAUAUGUUCAAGAUUAAAGCACAGAUGUAUUAUCUGCUGCAGACGUGUCAGAAACGGAUGAUUGCCGUUUCUAUAGUUCACGGUGGUCCAGGUCCUCGCUUCCUCUCAGAUAUACUGUACGAUCACCUCACUGGGAGGACUGACAUUAAUGGAACAGUUGAAGAUAUAACAGAUGAGACCAUGAAGGUUACCUUAGUCAGCUGGAUCCCUUCCAAAUCCAGAUCAGAUGGUGGACCUGCAUCUUGGCAUGACCACAACACAAGCCUAAAUGUCAGCGAAGACCAUGUCAACUAGACAAGCCCUAGACACAGAUCCCCUGUGAGGACUUCGUUGACAGCCAUCAGCACAGAUCCUCAGCAAAGACCACAAGAACCAGACAAGUCCUCUGCAGGGACCCCUACGGCCAGCUUCAACUCUAUGCCGGCGUGUUCUAUCUUGAUCUUCAAACUGAUGGAACCAGAUGAAAUAUUCUAAAUUAUACCAAUCCACAAUCUGACUUGUGAUGCAGCCUGAAUCAUAUCACACCAUGUUUGUUUAUUGGCCAGAGGAGAAUUGGUCCCUGACUGAGCCUGGUUUCUCCCAAGGGGUUUUUUCUUCUCCAUUUCUGUAACCUGAUGGAUUUUGGGUUCCUUACCACUGUUGCCUUUGGCUUGCUAAGUUUGGGACACUUAUGGCACUUAGGCGGUCCGCUCCUGUUUUCCAGAUUUGGGCCACAAGCAAGCCACAGUAAUG